AACGAACGCUGGCGGCGUGCCUAACACAUGCAAGUCGUGCGAGAAAGUUCCUUCGGGAGCGAGUAAAGCGGCGCACGGGUGAGUAACACGUAGGUAACCUGCCCCCCAGUCUGGAACAACUAGAGGAAACUCUAGCUAAUGCCGGAUGAGACCACGAUCCCUUCGGGGGUUGCGGCCAAAGAUGGCCUCUACUUGUAAGCUAUCGCUGAGGGAUGGGCCUGCGGGCCAUUAGCUUGUUGGUGAGGUAACGGCUCACCAAGGCUGUGAUGGCUAGCUGGUCUGAGAGGAUGACCAGCCACACUGGGACUGAGACACGGCCCAGACUCCUACGGGAGGCAGCAGUGGGGAAUAUUGCGCAAUGGGCGAAAGCCUGACGCAGCGACGCCGCGUGGGUGGAUGAA
rnacentral:rRNA from 1 species